AACGAACGCUGGCGGCAGGCCUAACACAUGCAAGUCGAACGAGAAGCCACCUUCGGGUGGUGGACAGUGGCAGACGGGUGAGGAACGCGUGGGAACGUGCCUUUCGGUUCGGGAUAACCCAGGGAAACUUGGGCUAAUACCGGAUACGCCCUCCGGGGGAAAGAUUCAUCGCCGAAAGAUCGGCCCGCGUCGGAUUAGCUAGUUGGUAGGGUAAUGGCCUACCAAGGCGACGAUCCGUAGCUGGUCUGAGAGGAUGACCGGCCACACUGGGACUGAGACACGGCCCAGACUCCUACGGGAGGCAGCAGUGGGGAAUAUUGGACAAUGGGCGAAAGCCUGAUCCAGCCAUGCCGCGUGGGUGAAGAAGGCCUUAGGGUUGUAAACCCCUUUCAGCGGGGAAGAUAAUGACGGUACCCGCAGAAGAAGUCCCGGCUAACUCCGUGCCAGCCGCCGCGGUAAAAC
rnacentral:rRNA from 1 species